GUCCACGCCGUAAACGAUGGGCACUAGGUGUGGGGGUGGUCGACUCCCUCCGUGCCGAAGCUAACGCAUUAAGUGCCCCGCCCUGGGGAGGUACGGCCGCAAGGCUAAAACUACAAAGGAAUUGACGGGGGCCCGGCACAAAGCAGCGGAGCAUGUGGUUUAAUUCGAAGCAACGCGAAGAACCUUACCUGGGCUUGACAUGUGCCUGACCGCCGUGGAAACACGGCUUCCCUUCGGGGCAGGUUCACAGGUGGUGCAUGGCUGUCGU
rnacentral:rRNA from 1 species